AGAACCAAAGAGAUGAGCAGCUGUUUGACAGCUAUGCACCAUAUAGUUUUCAAAGUGAGAGAAGAGAACCUGAAUGUUUGGCCAACUCAGAACACGAUCAGCAGUGGGGAUUAGAGAUCUUGGAAAACUGCCAGGAGAAGAAAUUCCAAGAAGCAAUGGAUCCCAGCCUGGAAGUCAACUGCUUGGAGUCCAAUCUGGCAUUGACUAAGUUUCUUGCUUCUCUACAAAACUUUCCGUCUUUUCCACUUUCAAGUCAGGCUGAGGAAACAGGCAGCAACACGGGACUCAUGCCCAUGUCCUCCUCUCUCCUCUUCUGACUUGAUUCAGGACACAUGCAGGCAGGCUGAGCUGCAGCUCUUCUGGCUCAAGUGACAGGUCUCUGUGUAACACGCUUUCUGAAUCACUUGUCUAUGUAAUAAAUAAUGUCUUUCCGUUUCUGAUGUCUUGAAG
rnacentral:lncRNA from 1 species